rnacentral:rRNA from 1 species
UGGGGAAUUUUGGACAAUGGGCGAAAGCCUGAUCCAGCAAUGCCGCGUGUGUGAAGAAGGCCUUCGGGUUGUAAAGCACUUUUGUCCGGAAAGAAAUCCUUGGCUCUAAUACAGUCGGGGGAUGACGGUACCGGAAGAAUAAGCACCGGCUAACUACGUGCCAGCAGCCGCGGUAAUACGCAGGGUGCAAGCGUUAAUCGGAAUUACUGGGCGUAAAGCGUGCGCAGGCGGUUUGCUAAGACCGAUGUGAAAUCCCCGGGCUCAACCUGGGAACUGCAUUGGUGACUGGCAGGCUAGAGUAUGGCAGAGGGGGGUAGAAUUCCACGUGUAGCAGUGAAAUGCGUAGAGAUGUGGAGGAAUACCGAUGGCGAAGGCAGCCCCCUGGGCCAAUACUGACGCUCAUGCACGAAAGCGUGGGGAGCAAACAGGAUUAGAUACCCUGGUAGUCCACGCCCUAAACGAUGUCAACUAGUUGUUGGGGAUUCAUUUCCUUAGUACGUAGCUAACGCGUGAAGUUGACCGCCUGGGGAGUACGGUCGCAAGAUU